GGAUGUAGCUCAGUUGGUAGAGUACUUGCCCAAAAUGCAUGAGGCCCUGGGUUCGAUGCCCAGCACCA
rnacentral:tRNA from 1 species